ensembl:antisense
GAGUAAAGACUGUUUACCAACGAAAUACACAAGCAGCCGUAUCUAAGAUCCAGGACUUGGGGGGUCCCUAACUUUAAAUAGUGGGGUGCACUGAUUGUUUGGGAUCCGCCUCAAGACUUCAGCCUAGGUCUACCUAGGUGAUACCUCUCAAAGACUGGAGCCAUUCUUGUGUCCAGGCCCAGGUUUGAGGCCGCGAUGACUCAACGCAGCAUCCCCUCCCCUUGCUAAACCGCGGUCUCCGCCUACCCCCAAUCAAUCUCAAGGAAGCUCUUUGGAAGCCAGGAUUCCCAGCACUUAGCUGGUGGGCAAAGGGGCUCAACCCCUUCCCCACAUCCCACCUUCCCUCCUCCCAGUCUUCGGGAUUGCGGAGCUCCUGCCGGGAUCCAAGAGCAGGCUCUUGGAGGUCGAAGAAGGAUAUAACCUCCAGACCUGGAAUUUAAGACGCAAGAACCAGCCAGCAAAAGUGGCAGCCGAGCAUGCGAAUGAAGAUGUAGAAGUCUCAGCUCCUUCAAUGCUAUGUCUGCCAAGAUGCUGCCACACUCCCUUCUUGAUGAUAAUGGACUGAACCUCUGAACCUGGACGAGAAACUACAGCAUUACUUCUGCAGAUUCACAAAGGAGUCCACGUUCCAAGAUGAGAGAAAUACCAGAAGCCGAUGGCUAUUCUACUUGACUGAAUGAAAAGAAAAGGAAGGCACUUCCUGUCAAUCCUGCUUUGGAUUCCUAGACAGUUUAAGAAGCACCAUUGAUCUGAUCAUUGGCACUGAGGAGGAAAUGCCCAUCCGCAGAAGACAUGCAGGGCUCAACCCAGCUUGACAUGGGCAGUGGAGUGGGCAGAAGACAGCAGCCCCAGGGCUUGAGCCUCCCUUCACAGUGGGUACCUGGCACAGGCAGACAACAAGCAGUGAGUGGGCCAGCAGAAUGGAACGGCUUGGUCAGCACAGGCGCUUUCAUCAGAUGAAGUGGGGUCACCUUUUACACUCCUGUUAACUCCUUGGGUGGAAUUACCCAACGGAAUGAAAAUUGGAUGGAGUUAUGGCGGGACACUCUUACUGGACACUGAAACCAUCCUGCAGCAAAUUGCUUCUGUGAAAUCUUUCUGCUGUUUGGGAGGUAUCCUUCUAUAGCACAGAAACGGAAACUUCAGCCAGAAGAGAGGAAUUCAGUGACUCCAUGCCAACAGAAACAGAGCUCUGCAUUUGUUUCCUGAGCCUACUUGCACUUGGAAGGUUUCUUUCCUCACAAGAAACAUGUGUUACAGGAUAUAAAAGUGGCUUUCCGUUUGGGGUUAGAACCCGAAACAGAAAGACAACAGAGAAAAAUUUCAGCUCAGCCUUUCUAGAUUGGAAAUGAUGCAUGAAUGUUGUUGUUUCUCCAAGACUUCAGCACAGGUAUAACAUGGUGCUAAUUUAAUCACCCGGUGAAUCACCUUUUCUCUGUGAGAUGUUAACACUGAUGUAAGAUGUUUCCAUGUGAGGAACGGGAAAGACUUGAGACACAAAAAAGCUUCAAGGAUUGGUAAAUAGAAUAAUGUGGUCUGUACCCCACUAAUUUUUCUUGCCAUCCAUGAGAGGCCCGAUGGGCUGCAGCAAUGCAUCAUUUAGAUCGCCCCUUCAGCUGGUUCAUGGAAAACUAACAAAAAUUGAUGUUGUUAUCUGGGGUUUUCGUGUGUGAUUUGUCUAACUCUUUACAUUCAUUAUGGGUUUUGCCCUUCUUUAAUAAAAUGGCCUGAUAUUGCCUUC